ACCGUUCAUUGAUUCCAGACAAUCGCUGUCAGCUGUGUCCACCAGGCUCUCCUGACACUGUCCCUGAACCCACUGCAACACCCCUCCUGUGCAGCUGAGCCACAGACUACACCCUGCCACAGCAAAUGAAUCCUGUUACAGUGCUACUCCAUCAAAACAUUGUUGAGAAGUUUAAUUCUGGAGGAAAACUGCCAACCUGCUGUUUGGACAAGAAGAAACUUGUGAAACAAAGGUCAGCUCAGGUAGCUCAUCAUCUGGAGGCAGAAGUUAUGCAGAAUAUUCAGCUUCAUGCAGUUUUUACAACAUUAAUUCAUCUCAACUAAAGCAGAAAGAGGAGGUUGAUGUGUGAACAUCAAAGAACCAAAUCAUGGAGCUGAAAUAGACUAAUCAGACCUUACAAUAUGACCACGACAGGUGACAAGAUUAUCUCUUUUUCACAGCACCUGUUAGUGGGUAGGAUGUAUUAAGGAGCAAGUAAUCAUUUUCUCCUCAAAGUUGGUGUGUUAGAAACAGAAAAACUGGCAAGUGUAAGGAUUUGAGCAGGUUUGACAAAAUAUUGAUGGCUACACGACUCGGUCUAGACAACCCGGCUUCUGCAAAAAUGCAGCGUUUGUGGGGUGUUGCUGCGGUGGUCACUAUGCAUUAAAAGUGGUCCAAAGAAGAAACAGUGACCAGUAACUGAGCAUCUGUGGGAUCUACAGGACAAACAAGUGUGAUCCAUGGAGGUCCUUCCUCACAACUUACAGGACUUCAAGGAUCUGUUGCUAACAUCUCAGUGCCAGAUAUCACAGCACAUCUUCAGGGGUCGAGUGGAAUCCAUGCCUCAGGACUGUUUUGGCAGCAAAAGAGGGACCAACACAAAAUCAGGCAGAGUCAUAAUGUUACAUCUGAUCGGUGUAUGACACUGCUUUACUUCAGCUGCCACAUUCACCAUCAGACAGGUUUUUGUACUGGUCUGUGUCACUGUGUGAGGGGACAGGAUCUUUGGCUCUGGAGUUAAACUGUACGUAACAGAUAUGCCGGUACUGAAGCCCUCGGUGACAGUGUACCAAGCAGCAUCCAGUGAUCAUCUGGAGGAGAAGAGAUCCCUGCUGUGUGUGGCCUCACAAAUGGUUCCUCCUGUGGUCCAGAUCACCUGGAAAAGGCAGGAGCAGGACGGAUCUUCGCUGGCAUUGCCCCCUGGUGGCACAGAACAGCUGGACGUCAUAGAGUCCGAUUACACUGCCAGCAUCUUGUUGAUCCAUCAGCGAGACGAGAACUCACAUACAUAUGACUGUUCUGUCACACACGAGGGGGGGACGGUGGAGCGACAAAUAGAGGAAGGAGUUUCUCAAAGUCCACCAAAAGAACUUCCACCAGAUACACUUUCCACCAAUCAAACUUUAACAGAACGUCCAUCAUCAGAACAUCCUGUGUCUCAAAAACAAGUAAAACUGCUCUGCCUGGUGUACACGGUGCUGAUCACGAAGAGUCUGGUGUACUGCUGUGGAGUCUCUCUGCUCAGGCUCGUCAGACGCAGCUGCAAACACGCAGCUGACUGACUGUUUCCUUCUUCUUGGCUUAUCGCUUUUUAUAUCAUUUAUCACUCAGGAUUUAGAAAAAUCUGUAACAGUGCAGCAUUUUGGCUGUUUUUUUACUUUCUUUUUUAUUUCAAUAUUAAAAAAGAGCUGAAACAGAAAAGGCUGAAUUAUUAGCUCCCUAGCAGAUAAUUCAUCAUUUAUAGCAUUUGUUUAAUUAAAACAAAGUGUUGCCUGCUCUUCAAAGUAUUUCUCUGCAAUAUUCCAAAUAAAGCAAAC